rnacentral:lncRNA from 1 species
ACUGCUGGACUGGAUACACAAGUACCCUGAGUGAGACAGACAUAAAUGCAUGCAGUAGCAACCCCUGCCAAUGUAGUGGAGAAUGUACCUGCAGAGCUGCCCUCAAAGGAUCAAUUCACAGGCUUUGGCUUCCUCCUUCAACUAUCUUGGAGCCUCAGGCUAUUUUAUAUCUGUCAGCCUGGAUUCACAGAGAGGAGCCUAGCGUAACAGUUCUCUGAGAAGCUCCAUUCAGCAGCUGAUUGAAACAAACGCAGAGACCCACCACCAAACAUUGGGCUGAAUUCGCAAAGUCUUAAGGGAAGAAUUGAGGGAAGGACUGAGGAACCUGGACGGCAUAGGGACUCCACAAGAAGAGUCAACUAACGUCUAUUCUUGGGGAUUCCCAGAGACUGAACCACCAAUCAAAGGACAUACAGAGCUGGACCUGCACCCUUCUGUGGGGCAGUGGGAGAAAACCCGAGUCCCACCAGAGUUCCAGUGUUCUGGGCAGGCAGACACAGGAGGACUGCCACACGAUUUCCAUGAAGCCCAGGCAUCAGAAACUCCUCCAUGAGAGCAUUUGCUGGAUCAAAUUCUAGCUUCACCUCAUGAAAAAUGCUAAUUAGGACAGGACUCAGUGCUGCUGAGCAAGACCUGACUUGUAGCAUCAUCAGCAAGUCAAGGCAUCACAGAGAAACGUGUGCAGCUGUGCUGUCUGCUGGUCACUGGCAACCGAGACACAUCUUAGGGGAACAAAUUCUCGUCACCUGACCUAGGCCAUCUCUAUGUGGAACACUUCUAGACAGACCUCUGGCCUCUUACAUGGCUUCUUACACAGACUCCGAGGUCACAGAUAGAUGAACCUCAACUGUUUUCACCAUAGCAGAAUCAAAGUACAGAAAACCUGACAGCAUUUCCAACUCCCGCACUCUGUGGCUCUGUGGCGACCUUUGCUUCUGCAGCAAGGGGACGGAGAGUUGGGAAGUGGGGUUGAUUGGUGU